rnacentral:rRNA from 1 species
UACGUAGGGUGCGAGCGUUAAUCGGAAUUACUGGGCGUAAAGCGUGCGCAGGCGGUUUUGUAAGCCAGAUGUGAAAUCCCCGGGCUUAACCUGGGAACUGCAUUUGGGACUGCAAGGCUUGAGUGCGGCAGAGGGAGACUGGAAUUCCUGGUGUAGCAGUGAAAUGCGUAGAUAUCAGGAGGAAUACCGAUGGCGAAGGCAGGUCUCUGGGCUGACACUGACGCUCAUGCACGAAAGCGUGGGGAGCAAACAGG